rnacentral:rRNA from 1 species
UACGAAGGGGGCUAGCGUUGCUCGGAAUCACUGGGCGUAAAGCGCACGUAGGCGGCUUUUUAAGUCAGAGGUGAAAUCCUGGAGCUCAACUCCAGAACUGCCUUUGAUACUGGAGAGCUUCGAGUCCGGGAGAGGUGAGUGGAACUGCGAGUGUAGAGGUGAAAUUCGUAGAUAUUCGCAAGAACACCAGUGGCGAAGGCGGCUCACUGGCCCGGUACUGACGCUGAGGUGCGAAAGCGUGGGGAGCAACAGG